GGAUGAGCCCGCGGCCUAUCAGCUUGUUGGUGAGGUAAUGGCUCACCAAGGCGACGACGGGUAGCCGGCCUGAGAGGGCGACCGGCCACACUGGGACUGAGACACGGCCCAGACUCCUACGGGAGGCAGCAGUGGGGAAUAUUGCACAAUGGGCGAAAGCCUGAUGCAGCGACGCCGCGUGAGGGAUGACGGCCUUCGGGUUGUAAACCUCUUUCAGCAGGGAAGAAGCGAAAGUGACGGUACCUGCAGAAGAAGCGCCGGCUAACUACGUGCCAGCAGCCGCGGUAAUACGUAGGGCGCAAGCGUUGUCCGGAAUUAUUGGGCGUAAAGAGCUCGUAGGCGGUCUGUCGCGUCGGAUGUGAAAGCCCGGGGCUUAACCCCGGGUCUGCAUUCGAUACGGGCAGACUAGAGUGUGGUAGGGGAGAUCGGAAUUCCUGGUGUAGCGGUGAAAUGCGCAGAUAUCAGGAGGAACACCGGUGGCGAAGGCGGAUCUCUGGGCCAUUACUGACGCUUAGGAGCGAAAGCGUGGGGAGCGGAAC
rnacentral:rRNA from 1 species